AGUGAACGCUGGCGGCAGGCCUAACACAUGCAAGUCGAACGGCAGCACAGCAGUAGCAAUACUGUGGGUGGCGAGUGGCGGACGGGUGAGGAAUACAUCGGAAUCUACCUUGUCGUGGGGGAUAACGUAGGGAAACUUACGCUAAUACCGCAUACGACCUACGGGUGAAAGCGGAGGACCGCAAGGCUUCGCGCGAUAAGAUGAGCCGAUGUCCGAUUAGCUAGUUGGCGGGGUAAUGGCCCACCAAGGCGAAGAUCGGUAGCUGGUCUGAGAGGAUGAUCAGCCACACUGGAACUGAGACACGGUCCAGACUCCUACGGGAGGCAGCAGUGGGGAAUAUUGGACAAUGGGCGCAAGCCUGAUCCAGCCAGGCCGCGUGGGGGAAGAAGGCCUUCGGGUUGUAAAGCUCUUUUGUCCGGAAAGAAAAGCAUCGGGCUAAUACCUCGAUGUUCUGACGGUACCGGAAGAAUAAGCACCGGCUAACUUCGUGCCAGCCGCCGCCGUAA
rnacentral:rRNA from 1 species